AGACUUUAGAAAACACCAGCCGCCUGAAGCACAUCAUAGCUGCAUGUCAGGUUGUUACAGAGGACUCAAGGAGGACAAAAGAGUACUUUCAGAGGUUGGAAACGAGUUUCUGUAAGCAACAGAGAUGAGCAGAUAGGUGAGCGAUUUGAUGGACUCUCAGUUCUGCCUGAAAACCUCACAUCUCUCAUCAUUCAUGUGUUUAUUUGUAUUAUUUAUAGUCGGUGAAGCUGAUUAACUCUUGCUCAGUGAAGUGAUGGUCGUGUUUUUAAAGCUGCAGCAGAUCUCUUCUGUGAGCUUUCASUGAUGAGAUCAUACUUGUCAUAUAAACUCCACUGUAAACUAUACAUCCAGUCUCUCAGUGCACUUGAUCAAAGUCAGUUCCAGCUCAUUAUUAUGUAUAUUAAACCUAUAUUUGUUAAUGUUUACGUGUGUGUGUGUGCGUCUAGUUCAGCUGCAAGGUAACUUUCAACAAGUGCUAUUCCUGACUGUGUUUCUCACUUUGCAGCUGUCGAGUCUGUUUGUUUUGGAUUUACGUCUGCUGGCAAAGUGAGAGCAGUGUUGGCUGUCUUUGCCCUGGUGUUUCUGUGAAACACUUCUCCUGAUAAAUAGUUUUUUUAACGUGACUAUGUUUGGAAACAGACUGGGCCUGCUCGUCCACAUUGUAAUGCCCUAAAAAGUGGCAGAGUUGGCAGCGAGCGCAGUAAAGACACCAGCGGCUCAAUAUGCAAAAUAAAACCCUGAGGAUCAAAUUUCAAACCCGAAAAAAAGUAGCCUUAUUGAAAAAUGUUUUAAAUAAAUGUCAUGUAGUAUUCCUCCCCAAUCCAACAAGAUAUUUCAGUAUUUAGACUUUGAGAAACUGGCUAAACUGUUCGGAGGUAUGUUGUACAUGGAAAUCCAUCAUCCAGUCAGGCACAUUGUUGAGUCAAGUUUGUAUAAAGAAGCAGCUGCUUGUAUUUAAUUAUUUAUAUUGGUGUGAAAAGUAAGCACUGGGCUCUUUUUGUCCUCGUUAGAUCAACGUUUCGACAGGAAAAGCCUGCGUAACCGACGACACAGCGAAGCAAAUCCUGCAGAACUACCACCCGUUCGUGACCCAUCUCACGCUGCGCAUCUUUAAACUGCUCCAGCCUGAAGCAUAUCAGUGAAUGCAGGAAUCUGCAGGAACUCAACGUGUCGGAGUGUAUUAAUGUUACAGAUACAGGGGUUCAGAGGAUUACUGAGGGCUGCCACUGCCUGCUCUACCUGAAUCUUACCUGCACACUCAUCACAAACAACACUUUAAAAGAAAUAUCCAGGAAACAUAACGGACUUCAGUACCUGAGUCUGGCCUACUGCUGCAGAUUCACAGAUGAAGGGCUUCUGUAGCUGACCACAGGGACGGGCAGCUGCACUCUCACCCACCUCAACCUGUCGGGCUGCUCAGAUGAGAGUAAAUGGGUUCAGAUACAUUUCUGCUGGCUGCCCGUCACUCAGCUCGUGAUCAUCGACGUGCCCACUCAGUGGGCUGUGUUUUGGCUUUACUCUCCAGAUGUUGUUGUCUUUCCUCUCUCUCCUUGUUGGACGCCCCUUAUCCUUCUGACGUUGCUCUUAAAGCCGUUGCAGAAACAUCCAACCUGAGGGCUGUCAUUAUAGAAGCUCACAGACAUCUGCUGGAAAGCCCUCUGCAGACUUCAUGCUUCAGAACGCCCCAGAAUGACCAACGUCAGCCUGAGAUCUGUGUCCACCCUGGAAAAUCUACAAUACCUGGACAUCUCGUGGUGCAACAGCUUUGGAGUGGAUGAGUGGCAGUUCCACUGGAUUCAACAUUCAGGAUCAGGGACUCGCUAUGCUUGAGAGAAUUUGCCUGAAGAUGGUACUCGCUGAGUGCGUAUACAUCACUGAUAUCGGCAUAGAGAAGUUGUGCAAGAACGUGAGGGACCUGAAAGAGGUUGAUGUUUCUCACUUUGUAUCUCUGUCUGAUGGAGCAGUGAGAGCCUUUUCAUUUUACUGCAGAGGUCUGGUUGUGCUGCAGAUGGCAGGUUGUCCAAAGGUGACAGAUAUGGCAGUGCAGAAUCUGUCGAGCCAGUCCCCGUACCUGUGAGAGCUCAGUUACCUCACAGAUCGUUUUUCCCUUCGACACUUGAAAAGGACUUGUCCUCCUCUCGCCUGCAUCAGUAUGAGCUGCUGCAGCGGCAUCUCCAGAGCGACGCAUCUCGCAAUGGGAGCAGUGCACACCGGUUUGCCAACAAGAGAAAACUAAGCUGCUGACAGCGAGGUCCAUCAAGACUGAUGAUGUUUGGGAGGUAGAGAGGCACACAGCAGGUGCAUGUACUCAUAUCUAAUAUACUUUUUUUUUUUUUUACUGUAAUACUGGGAACAUACUGUAUUUUGAUUUUACACCCUCACACAAACAGCUGUUUUUGUGACAUUAUACACCAAUAUCUGUUCACAAAGCUUCAUGAUAACAUUAUUAAACUGACUGAACUAUAAUUUAAACCAUAAAAUGUUGCAGUUCAACCACUUUUUGAUACUUAUUUUAAUCGCUAUGGUUUUGACACAUUAACAAAUGUUUUGUCUAUGCACCUCCUGUGUGUUUUGCUCAUAAAAGGGACAAUUAACACCAGUUAUGUUUAAAAUUGUAAUUAUUCACUGACAAGAAUGUUUAAAUGAUUGACUUCCAUUAAGCAGAGUCUUAUUUUAUAAGUAAACAAUGUCACAGUUUGAGGCCAUCAAAUGCACAGUAACUGUAGAAAGAACAUAAAUAAAUUGUUACUCUGUUAAAAAUAAAAUUCUGUACAGAA